GACGAACGCUGGCGGCGUGCCUAAUACAUGCAAGUCGAACGAGAGCGACCGGUGCUUGCACUGGUCAAUCUAGUGGCGAACGGGUGAGUAACACGUGGGUAACCUGCCCAUCAGAGGGGGAUAACAUCCGGAAACGGAUGCUAACACCGCAUAGGUCUUCGAGCCGCAUGGCUUGAAGGGGAAAAGAGGCGCAAGCUUCUGCUGAUGGAUGGACCCGCGGUGCAUUAGCUAGUUGGUGAGGUAACGGCUCACCAAGGCCGGGAUGCAUAGCCGACCUGGGGGGGUGAUCGGCCACAUUGGGACUGAGACACGGCCCAAACUCCUACGGGAGGCAGCAGUAGGGAAUCUUCCGCAAUGGUCGCAAGUCUGACGGAGCAACGCCGCGUGAGUGAAGAAGGUUUUCGGAUCGUAAAACUCUGUUGUUAGAGAAGAACAAGUGCUAGAGUAACUGUUAGCGCCUUGACGGUAUCUAACCAGAAAGCCACGGCUAACUACGUG
rnacentral:rRNA from 1 species